rnacentral:rRNA from 1 species
AGGGAAUCUUCCGCAAUGGACGAAAGUCUGACGGAGCAACGCCGCGUGAGUGAUGAAGGUUUUCGGAUCGUAAAGCUCUGUUGCCAGGGAAGAACGUCUUGGAGAGUAACUGCUCUAAGAGUGACGGUACCUGAGAAGAAAGCCCCGGCUAACUACGUGCCAGCAGCCGCGGUAAUACGUAGGGGGCGAGCGUUGUCCGGAAUUAUUGGGCGUAAAGCGCGCGCAGGCGGCUGUUUAAGUCUGGUGGUUAAUCCUGGGGCUCAACCCCGGGUCGCACUGGAAACUGAGCAGCUUGAGUGCAGAAGAGGAGAGUGGAAUUCCACGUGUAGCGGUGAAAUGCGUAGAGAUGUGGAGGAACACCAGUGGCGAAGGCGACUCUCUGGGCUGUAACUGACGCUGAGGCGCGAAAGCGUGGGGAGCAAAC